AGGACAAACGCUGGCGGGGUGCAUGAGACAUGCAAGUCGAACGAGGUGCCAUCGGGCUUGCUCGAUGGUUACCGAGUGGCGGACGGCUGAGUAACGCGUAGGUGACCUACCCGGAAGUGGGGAAUAACUGCCCGAAAGGGUGGCUAAUACCGCAUGUGGUCGGCGAUUCGAUUCGCCGUCUAAAGGAGCAAUUCGCUUCCGGAGGGGCCUGCGUCCGAUUAGCUAGUUGGUGGGGUAACGGCUCACCAAGGCGACGAUCGGUAGCUGGUCUGAGAGGAUGAUCAGCCAGACUGGGACUGAGAACGGCCCAGACUCCUACGGGAGGCAGCAGUCGGGAAUUUUGCCCAAUGGACGAAAGUCUGAGGCAGCAACUCCGCGUGAGGGAUGAAGGCUCUCGGGUCGUAAACCUCUUUUCUCAGGGAAGAUCCAAGACGGUACCUGAGGAAUAAGCGACGGCUAACUACGUGUCAGCAGCCGC
rnacentral:rRNA from 1 species